GGUUCUAUAGUCUAGUGGUUAUUACAUCUGCUUUACACACAGAAGGUCCUGGGUUCAAUUCCCAGUAGAGCCA